rnacentral:lncRNA from 1 species
AUCAAAACACUUCUUGUGAUGUUUUCCCAUGUUGUGGUACGACUACAAUACAACAAGCGAUGUUAAAAUGUUUACCAGAGGGCCAACAUGUCCUUUCCUAAUCUCCAUUGUCUAAUCUAGAUGGGCCUAGCAAUGAUUGCUUGUCUGGGCCAAUUAUUUAGGCAGAAAUGAAUGCAAGAGCUGUUCUCCAGGAUUACAUCAUCAAAAUUCUUCACAUUUCAGCAUCCGCUGUUAUCCUUUGUCUAAUACUGAUGAGCCUCUGGUUACUGUAGGCCUACCACACUGUCUCUGAGAGUUUGUAGAAUACAUAAUAGGAUUGUUAUUGUAGACAAUGCAAUGCUGAAUAAUAUCAGGUGAAACACUGUCUGAAAUGGCACCCUAUUCACUAUGGUCAUAGGGUCUGGUCAAAAGUAGUGUACUAUGUAGGUAAUAGCGUGUAAUUUCAGACACAACCACUCUUUGUCACAUGCUGGCAUUCUGUAAUAUUCGUAAGAAAACUGAAAACAGACUAUUUCAAAUCUACACGUCUUUGUUCUUGGAAAAGAUUAGUUCUUCGCUCCUCAACCCGAAUCUAUUCUAAUGUCCUUGAAUUACACACAGUAUUAACAUGUACUGUGUGUUCUCUCUGUACCUCAUAAAUCUGAUGUGUGUCCUUUUGUUUCAUAAACGGCCUUGGGGUAUGAAUGAUUUCAUUUUGUAAGAAGACUUUCUCUUUCUCUUCUGCUAGACUUAAAGUGAUGUCAUGCAAACGCGAUAUUAGCUAGCUUCCUACUACACUCAAACUCUAAAAUGGAGGAGUCAGAGGUGGGCGAAUUAUCUGUGGAAGACGAGCCGAAGAGACGAAGGAUUUCCUUGAAGAGGACGUCCACGGUCAACUCAGAAACCUCCCCCGCCACUGUCAACAACUCCAAAAAACCUCCACUGUGCCGAGGGAGUUCCUUCACCUUUCUGACUCCAGGAACACCAUGGGACUUCAGUCUGAAGAGGAAACAUAAAGAGCCCAAGGAUGAUGACACUGUCAGUCUGUCCAGCUUUGACCUCAAAGUAGUAAGCCAAGGCUCCGCCAAAUGUUACAAGAUUUCUGAGGAUUAA